AAUGUAAAAAGCAUUUUAUUAGAUGUUAGUACAGCUUUGAAACAGCUUUCAGAAUUACAAUGCCAAAGUUACGUUUUAUUCUAAGGCUGAACGUUUUAUUUUGUUUGUUUGAAAGUAUUCGAAAAAACUUAUCGCAUUUUAUUGUCCGAUUUGAUUAUUUUUCGUUUAGAGUAUUGCAGUGCAAUGGUGUUGUGAGGAGAUGUUUUAAUGUCUUUGUUUAAAAUAAUUUAUCAUAAGAUGCCUUUUAAAAUAGUGCAAACGACCGAAAGGGAUGAAGGAAUGUUCUACGGAACUUCUUGACUCACACAACAACCGAUUGUACUGUAUUUUGUGUAUGAGGUGUAUCAUUUUUUGGAACACGUUUUGCAUUUCUUAAACCAAAUAUAAAGUUUGAAUAUUC